GUAUCUCAAGUAUACAUUUUUAUUAACUACAAUGUAGAUGUUUGAAUUAAAUUAGGAAAUUAUGGUCUUUGUUGAGGUGCUUCUCAGUAAAAAUACAUUUCCUUGCUUGCUUUUUGCAUCAUGAUGAGCAUCAUACAGUAUGUAUAUCCAUAUAUUGGAAGUGAGUUUAUCUGACUGCCUAACACUAUUCACUACUGUGAAAGCAGUAACUAAUGAAUGAAAUAAAAGCUUGAUAUUUUAUCUUUCACUGUAAAGCUUUAUAGUUAGCACUUAUAAUAAUACUUGGAAUGUACCCCUUGUUCUCUAAGCUACUGCUGAAUCACAAUUCCUAAACAACUGCUUCCAACAUUACUCUGGACUAGUAAGUGAGUGGUUAAUUGGAGAAAUGCCACUGCUGAGUGAAAUUGUUAUUGUAUUCUCUUAAUGUGAGAAAAGAGUGUUUUUGCUGUACUGCUUGGCCAAUAAAAUGCAGAGAGUGUUCAUAAUGCUUUCUACAGCAUUAAAGUCAAAUUACUGUAGUCAUCUGCAUUGUUGUACAUCACUUGCUAAAUACAAUAUCCAACUACAUUUUACAUAGUAGCGUGUGGAUUUGAGCAGUAUAACAUUGUCUGAGUUUUAAUGUGAACAGGAAUAGGUUUAGACCAUAACAAAAAAAAGGAGAAAUAAUCAAAUGAAGUUAAGUGACAUUAUUUUAAAGCACUGCAUAUAACUGUAAAAAAGGGGAAAUUGGUGAAGCUUCUGAAAGUAGGCAGGCAUUAGAGGGAGGGGACUUUCACGUCAUCUUGGGUAUUAAAGCAGCAGAGUCCACAGACAUCCAAAGCAGAUUCAUUCAUCCAUCCUAACUGCACUGAAGCUCUCCGUGUCCUUCUCAUCCUUUGUUACUCAGGGAGGGAACUUGCAGCGUUACUGCCUCCUACAUUAUUCAGGGAAAGUGUAGCACUCACUUGGAGCAAAAUGAGUAAAAUGAUCAUACUGUGCUUAGGACUCACCAUACUGGCUUUUAUUUUGCCCAAUCAGGUGGUCAGUGAGAACUCUACUGUAACUGUUACCCCUGUUGUUACCUCUGGCAAUACUACACAAAUUAAUGCCACCAGCCUCUCAGUUAAUGCAACUGCCAUCAGUAGUACCACCCAUUCGCAUGCAAAUUCUGUGUAUGCAGCUUCUACUCUUUUACUUGGCUUUGCAUCAGUUUCUCUUUUAAGCCUAUAUUGCUGAGAGACUAUGGUCUACUGUACAUGCAACUCUGGCACUACUCCAUCUCUUGCUCACAUGUCAGGGAUCUGGCAUAAUCAUUAAGCGCAUGAAGGAAAAUAAACCAGCCCUUCUGCUAAAUGACCCCCCCCCCCAAUCUAGACUGCUCACACCAUCCUGACUGAGAAGCUCUCACUGACAAACUAACAAUCCAAAGGCUGAAUGAUGUGGCAGCACUCUCGUUCACUGCAGGAAUCGGCCAGUGGAAAGCUCUAGUAUCAACUCCAGAAAAAGCCUCAUUUCUUAAGUGGAAGCAGAUGAAACAAUAUCCCAAAGUGAAAGCAAACCAAGGAUACAAGAGAUAAAUAAUGCACUAGACAACACAUGUGAAUUAGUACACGUUGGUUAAUCAAGACUGUUAAUGAAAAAAGGAUACCUGGAGAUUGUUUACUCUUGCCUAAAUCAUUUACCUUUACGUAUAACAGUAAAAUUAGGUUUGUUUAAUGCUUACAAAUGUAAAAUGAUACCCUUUCAAUAAAUUAGAAGGAAACAGUGACUUUAUUUUUUCAGUUGAGUUUUCAACCUUCCAUUGGAGUUUAUGAUGAUUAUUUGUGUAAACUUAAUACAGGGGGCAUUCCAAAUAUAGCUAUGACUUUUAUGUCCUAUUAAUUUGCCAUUAAUACCAGAAAAUGAAAAUGCCCUUUGUGUAUUUAAAAAGUAACAUAUUUCAUUUGUGUCUUUUCUAGGAAGUUUAUGUACUGUAUACACUGUAUUUCUUUAACUUUAUUUUGUAGAGCCUCCUAACGCAGUUCAAAAUUAUUAUUUAUAAAUAUUCUGAUGACUGCAUUUCAUCUCUAGUUUGUAACAAACAAGUAUUUAGCUCAUGGGGUUUGGUGCUCUGUUGAUGUGACUGUGCCAGGAUAUGAGACUCUUUGCAAUAACUCAUAAUUGUUUUAUACGUAUAAUUUAAACAAAAUUAUCAUCAAAAUGAGACAAAUAAAUUCUAUUUGGUUUUACUGAAA